AAAAUAGCUGGUAGAAAAGUUGUGCACAGAAAAAAAGAAGACCGUAAUAUAUUUUAACUAAUAUUUACCCGCUUUUUUUUUCGGUUUUCAAAUUUGAUGAGACAACUUCAGAGAAAAUCAAAAAAUGAACUCCCUAAAAUACCUCCCCACGCCGAAUUCUUUUCAGAAAAUGUACUACACAUUGAAAUCCGAUCAAGUAUUCUAGUAGAAAAGUUAUUAACAGA